GGGAAGUGCAUGGAUCGAUGAAGAAAAUUCUCCAAGCCAUCCAAUCUAUUGUAAAAACUGGUAAAUAUAUAAACAAGUGAUUUGUAUAUAACAUAACAAACAUAAUAUACAUGAGAAGAAUUCUGUGAAUAUAACAGGAUCCCAGUAAAAAAUCAGCAUAUGUGGAAAUUCGUAUUAACCAGCAGAUGGUCUAAAGAAGGUCUCUUAAGAGGGUGAGAGAAGAGAAUAACCCAAACCAGC